GGAGAGAUGGCAGAGUGGCCGAAUGCGGCAGCUUGCUAAGCUGUUGAGUCGUUUAGACGGCUCCGAGGGUUCAAAUCCCUCUCUCUCCGCCA
rnacentral:tRNA from 1 species